CAAGACUCUGCUGUUGACCUGAGCUGAAAGCAAUUAUUUCUCUUAGCACGAAGGGAAUCUUCUAUCAUUGUUCAGAUGAGGCAUCAGCAACAACAAGAGUCACUUUUGCAAAGUAGGAUUGGGGUGGGAUUCAGAAGUUCAGAAGAGAGAAAAUCUUUUGUUCCCUCACAUAUCAUGAAACAUAGUUGCAGACAACAGGCAAGUAUACAGAUCCUCCCCCAUGUAUUAAUUCUAUUUUAUAUCCGAUACUUUAUUUACAUUAGAAGAAGGGGAAUCUGAUCUCUGCAAUCAUCUCUUUAAUGCAUGAUCGAAAUAAAAUAAUAUUUCGAAACAAGAAUGUUACAACUGAAUUGAAAUCUCCCACACGGUGUAGAGGUGUGAAAUGGGACUAUCUAAAAAGAUGAAAUAAACUACAAAGGAAAUGUCAAUCAGGGAACAAAAUUGGAAUAAAAAAGAAACAAUUAAUUAAAGAUCACAAUGCAUUGGUGAAUGGAAUUCAAAAUGAAGAUGGAAGUUGAAAAGAUAUUUCAACUCCCAGAACUGAGCCUAUUUAGUAUUAAAAUUUUUUGAGGGGCUAACAACUGUAAUCUGAGUUUUCAUGUAAAAAUAAUUUAAAGUGAAAUGUUAUCAUUUGUAAGGGAACAUAAUGGCUCAAUGGUUAAAGAGAUGAGCUUGUCAGCAGGAAAACUGAUAUCACGAGUUCAAGACCUGACCACCACGCGAUGGGGUGAGUUCCCAUUACCUGCCCCAGCUCCUAUCAACCUAGCAGUUUGA